rnacentral:rRNA from 1 species
UACAGAGGGGGCAAGCGUUAUUCGGAAUUAUUGGGCGUAAAGGGCGCGUAGGCGGCUUGGCAAGUGGAAGGUGAAAUCCCUCGGCUUAACCGAGGAACUGCCCUCCAAACUGCUUAGCUUGAGACCGGGAGAGGUGAGUGGAAUUCCCAGUGUAGCGGUGAAAUGCGUAGAUAUUGGGAGGAACACCAGUGGCGAAGGCGGCUCACUGGACCGGUACUGACGCUGAGACGCGAAAGCGUGGGGAGCGAACAGG